UACGUAGGGUGCGAGCGUUAAUCGGAAUUACUGGGCGUAAAGCGUGCGCAGGCGGUUUUGUAAGACAGGCGUGAAAUCCCCGGGCUCAACCUGGGAACUGCGCUUGUGACUGCAAGGCUAGAGUAUGGCAGAGGGGGGUGGAAUUCCACGUGUAGCAGUGAAAUGCGUAGAGAUGUGGAGGAACACCAAUGGCGAAGGCAGCCCCCUGGGCCAAUACUGACGCUCAUGCACGAAAGCGUGGGUAGCAAACAGGAUUAGAUACCCUGGUAGUCCACGCCCUAAACGAUGUCAACUAGGUGUUGGGUGGGUAAAACCAUUUAGUACCGGAGCUAACGCGUGAAGUUGACCGCCUGGGGAGUACGGCCGCAAGGUUAAA
rnacentral:rRNA from 1 species